GCGGGUAUGGCGGAAUUGGCAGACGCGCCGGAUUUAGGUUCCGGUGGGUAACCGUGCAGGUUCGAACCCUGUUACCCGUACCA
rnacentral:tRNA from 1 species